UACGUAGGGCGCAAGCGUUGUCCGGAAUUAUUGGGCGUAAAGGGUGUGUAGGUGGCGCCGUAAGUCGGGUGUGAAAUUUCGGAGCUUAACUCCGAAACUGCAUUCGAUACUGCGGUGCUUGAGGACUGGAGAGGAGACUGGAAUUCAUGGUGUAGCAGUGAAAUGCGUAGAGAUCAUGAGGAAGACCAGUGGCGAAGGCGGGUCUCUGGACAGUGCCUGACACUGAGACACGAAGGCCAGGGGAGCAAACGGG
rnacentral:rRNA from 1 species